GAAUUUUCCGCAAUGGGCGAAAGCCUGACGGAGCAAUACCGCGUGAGGGAAGACAGCCCUCCGGGUCGUAAACCUCUUUUCUUGGAGAAGAAUACAUGACGGUAUCCAAGGAAUAAGCAUCGGCUAACUCCGUGCCAGCAGCCGCGGUAAUACGGAGGAUGCAAGCGUUAUCCGGAAUCACUGGGCGUAAAGCGUCUGUAGGUGGUUUAGUAAGUCUGUUGUUAAAGAUUAGGGCUCAACCCUAAAUAGGCAGUGGAAACUACUAGACUAGAGCACAGUAGAGGUAGAGGGAAUUCCCAGUGUAGCGGUGAAAUGCGUAGAUAUUGGGAAGAACACCAGU
rnacentral:rRNA from 16 species